rnacentral:rRNA from 1 species
UACGUAGGGUGCGAGCGUUAAUCGGAAUUACUGGGCGUAAAGCGUGCGCAGGCGGUGCACCAAGCUCGAUGUGAAAGCCCCGGGCUUAACCUGGGAAUUGCAUUGAGGACUGGUGGGCUCGAGUGCGGCAGAGGGGGGUGGAAUUUCCGGUGUAGCGGUGAAAUGCGUAGAUAUCGGAAGGAACAUCAGUGGCGAAGGCGACUUCCUGGACCAAUACUGACGCUGAGGAGCGAAAGCCAGGGGAGCAAACGGG